rnacentral:misc_RNA from 1 species
GUGAGAUAAACCCAAGCUCAUUGGGGCCAAGUCUUGAGAUGCAAGACCAGAAAUGAGCUCAGUCAACUGACUUCUAACUCCUCUCAUCAAUUCCAUGACAGCAUUAUUAUGAACACAAUCAAUUUGCAAUUUCUCUUUAAUUGCAUUUCCUAGCUUUGAAUCAGCAACCCCCAAAGUUUCACCAUCACAGUGUGCUUUCAAGAACUUGCGCAGUCCUUUGCUGGGUUUGCUAUCUAUCAACAACGUAGCUGCUGAUAGAGCUUCUGAGGUGUUUUCAAACUUGGAGAAAGCUUUUAGCUUCACGACCUUUCUAGCGGAAUCAGUUGAGGAGAAGUCCUUCCACAAAUCCUCAACUUUGGAGAGCUUUCCCUCAUCCAAAACUUUGAAAAGGGCAAAACCUGCCGGUGUUUCAAACAAUACCAACAUCUCCGGAAGAAUCUUUUUCCGGCGCGCCGAUUAUGGAACUACGACGGAUUUUCACCUCCACAAAACGGAACUCCGAGAGAGGAGAGAAUU